rnacentral:rRNA from 1 species
GUGAAGUCAUUGAUGCCAUGCUUCCAGGAAAAGCCUCUAAGCUUCAGAUUGUAAGGAAUCGUACCCCAAACCGACACAGGUGGUCGGGUAGAGAAUACCAAGGCGCUUGAGAGAACUCGGGUGAAGGAACUAGGCAAAAUGGUACCGUAACUUCGGGAGAAGGUACGCUCUCGACGGUGAAGUCCCUCGCGGAUGGAGCUAUUGAGAGUCGCAGAUACCAGGUGGCUGCAACUGUUUAUUAAAAACACAGCACUGUGCAAAAUCGUAAGAUGACGUAUACGGUGUGACGCCUGCCCGGUGCCGGAAGGUUAAUUGAUGGGGUUAGACUUCGGUCGAAGCUCUUGAUCGAAGCCCCGGUAAACGGCGGCCGUAACUAUAACGGUCCUAAGGUAGCGAAAUUCCUUGUCGGGUAAGUUCCGACCUGCACGAAUGGCGUAAUGAUGGCCACGCUGUCUCCACCCGAGACUCAGUGAAAUUGAAAUCGCUGUGAAGAUGCAGUGUACCCGCGGCUAGACGGAAAGACCCCGUGAACCUUUACUACAGCUUGGCACUGAACAUUGACCCUACAUGUGUAGGAUAGGUGGGAGGCUUUGAAGCACGUACGCCAGUAUGUGUGGAGCCGUCCUUGAAAUACCACCCUUGUAGUGUUGAUGUUCUAACGUCGACCCCUAAUCGGGGUUGCGGACAGUGCCUGGUGGGUAGUUUGACUGGGGCGGUCUCCUCCCAAAGAGUAACGGAGGAGCACGAAGGUGGGCUAAUCACGGUUGGACAUCGUGAGGUUAGUGCAAUGGCAUAAGCCCGCUUGACUGCGAGAAUGACAAUUCGAGCAGGUGCGAAAGCAGGUCAUAGUGAUCCGGUGGUUCUGAAUGGAAGGGCCAUCGCUCAACGGAUAAAAGGUACUCCGGGGAUAACAGGCUGAUACCGCCCAAGAGUUCAUAUCGACGGCGGUGUUUGGCACCUCGAUGUCGGCUCAUCACAUCCUGGGGCUGAAGUCGGUCCCAAGGGUAUGGCUGUUCGCCAUUUAAAGUGGUACGCGAGCUGGGUUUAGAACGUCGUGAGACAGUUCGGUCCCUAUCUGCCGUGGGCGUUGGAAGAUUGAAGGGGGCUGCUCCUAGUACGAGAGGACCGGAGUGGACGAACCUCUGGUGUUCGGGUUGUGUCGCCAGACGCAUUGCCCGGUAGCUAAGUUCGGAAUCGAUAACCGCUGAAAGCAUCUAAGCGGGAAGCGAGCCCUGAGAUGAGUCUUCCCUGAUACUUUAAGUAUCCUAAAGGGUUGUCGGAGACUACGACGUUGAUAGGUCAGGUGUGUAAGUGCUGUGAGGCAUUGAGCUAACUGAUACUAAUUGCCCGUGAGGCUUAACCAUACAACACCCAAGGGGUUU